rnacentral:rRNA from 1 species
GCUCAGGACGAACGCUGGCGGCGUGCCUAAUACAUGCAAGUCGUACGCUUCUUUUUCCACCGGAGCUUGCUCCACCGGAAAAAGAGGAGUGGCGAACGGGUGAGUAACACGUGGGUAACCUGCCCAUCAGAAGGGGAUAACACUUGGAAACAGGUGCUAAUACCGUAUAACAAUCGAAACCGCAUGGUUUUGAUUUGAAAGGCGCUUUCGGGUGUCGCUGAUGGAUGGACCCGCGGUGCAUUAGCUAGUUGGUGAGGUAACGGCUCACCAAGGCCACGAUGCAUAGCCGACCUGAGAGGGUGAUCGGCCACAUUGGGACUGAGACACGGCCCAAACUCCUACGGGAGGCAGCAGUAGGGAAUCUUCGGCAAUGGACGAAAGUCUGACCGAGCAACGCCGCGUGAGUGAAGAAGGUUUUCGGAUCGUAAAACUCUGUUGUUAGAGAAGAACAAGGAUGAGAGUAACUGUUCAUCCCUUGACGGUAUCUAACCAGAAAGCCACGGCUAACUACGUGCCAGCAGCCGCGGUAAUACGUAGGUGGCAAGCGUUGUCCGGAUUUAUUGGGCGUAAAGCGAGCGCAGGCGGUUUCUUAAGUCUGAUGUGAAAGCCCCCGGCUCAACCGGGGAGGGUCAUUGGAAACUGGGAGACUUGAGUGCAGAAGAGGAGAGUGGAAUUCCAUGUGUAGCGGUGAAAUGCGUAGAUAUAUGGAGGAACACCAGUGGCGAAGGCGGCUCUCUGGUCUGUAACUGACGCUGAGGCUCGA